rnacentral:rRNA from 1 species
UACGGAGGGAGCUAGCGUUGUUCGGAAUUACUGGGCGUAAAGCGCGCGUAGGCGGCUUUUGUAAGUUAGAGGUGAAAGCCCGGAGCUCAACUCCGGAACUGCCUUUAAAACUGCAUCGCUUGAAUCCAGGAGAGGUGAGUGGAAUUCCGAGUGUAGAGGUGAAAUUCGUAGAUAUUCGGAAGAACACCAGUGGCGAAGGCGGCUCACUGGACUGGUAUUGACGCUGAGGUGCGAAAGCGUGGGGAGCAAACAGG